rnacentral:rRNA from 1 species
GAUGAACGCUGGCGGCGUGCCUAAUACAUGCAAGUCGAGCGAAUGGAUUAAGAGCUUGCUCUUAUGAAGUUAGCGGCGGACGGGUGAGUAACACGUGGGUAACCUGCCCAUAAGACUGGGAUAACUCCGGGAAACCGGGGCUAAUACCGGAUAACAUUUUGAACCGCAUGGUUCGAAAUUGAAAGGCGGCUUCGGCUGUCACUUAUGGAUGGACCCGCGUCGUAUUAGCUAGUUGGUGAGGUAACGGCUCACCAAGGCAACGAUGCGUAGCCGACCUGAGGGUGAUCGGCCACACUGGGACUGAGACACGGCCCAGACUCCUACGGGAGGCAGCAGUAGGGAAUCUUCCGCAAUGGACGAAAGUCUGACGGAGCAACGCCGCGUGAGUGAUGAAGGCUUUCGGGUCGUAAAACUCUGUUGUUAGGGAAGAACAAGUGCUAGUUGAAUAAGCUGGCACCUUGACGGUACCUAACCAGAAAGCCACGGCUAACUACGUGCCAGCCGCCGCAGUAA